rnacentral:rRNA from 1 species
ACGUAGGGGGCAAGCGUUAUCCGGAUUUACUGGGUGUAAAGGGAGCGUAGACGGCACAGCAAGUGUGAUGUGAAAACCCGCGGCUCAACCGCGGGACUGCAUUGGAAACUGCUGGGCUGGAGUGCUGGAGGGGCAGGCGGAAUUCCUGGUGUAGCGGUGAAAUGCGUAGAUAUCAGGAGGAACACCAGUGGCGAAGGCGGCCUUCUGGACUGUAACUGACGUUGAGGCUCGAAAGCGUGGGGAGCAAACAG